UACAGAGGUCUCAAGCGUUGUUCGGAUUCAUUGGGCGUAAAGGGUGCGUAGGUGGCGCUGUAAGUCGGGUGUGAAAUUUCGGAGCUUAACUCCGAAACUGCAUUCGAUACUGCGGUGCUUGAGGACUGGAGAGGAGACUGGAAUUCAUGGUGUAGCAGUGAAAUGCGUAGAGAUCAUGAGGAAGACCAGUGGCGAAGGCGGGGUCUCUGGACAGUUCCUGACACUGAGGCACGAAGGCCAGGG
rnacentral:rRNA from 1 species